rnacentral:lncRNA from 1 species
ACUUUAUUGGUUACUGACUGGGAAAGAAGGAUUCCACUAGCACUGCUUGGCUAUCAAAGCUGGGCAAUGUGAUCCUCUAAGCCACAUGUUUAGGAAUUGACAAACAAUUGUGGAGGUUGGCAAUUCCAAAAUCUGAGGAGUAGGUAAACUGGAAGACUAGAGACCCUGGGAAGAGUUGAUGUUACAGCUUGAAUCUGAAGGCAGUCUGCUGGAAGAAUCCCCUCUUUCUUGUAGAAGCCCCUUGACUGGGCAAACUUCAAACAAGUGACUGAGCUCCCUUAGCUGCCACUGAUUGGACCAGGAUGGACAACAAAUGUAGGAGGAGUUCAUCUGGAUCUAGCCUGAGCCAGUCAGAUAUCCCCUUUGAAUCCAUGCCUAUAGAAAUACAAAAAAAUGGAAGCCAGAGGAUGAUGGAUCCUUGAAGUAAUAAGUCAGCUCUGUGGAAGUUUGAGUGACUCAUUGCAGAGAGGAAUUGAUGAAGUCAACAGCUGCUGGAAAAACUUCUUUUUCCUUAAUAGCUGUAUCAACAUGUGGUUGCUAUUAUUCAAGUAAGAAAAAUAUGUAUAUCAAACAUCCAUGGUAGUCCUUGCUAAAAUUUUCAUUAGAGAGACUCAUGUUUUGACAUUAAAAAAAGUUCAAAUGGGUACCUUAGAGGAUGUUUUGUUGGAGAACAAAAUCAUGGAGAAAUAAAGUCUAAAAAGAAAAAUAAAUGGCAAGCAUGUUGUUAAUAAUGCUGUAAUUUAUUUCAGAGUGGGUUGGGUGAUUUUCUUCAUGGCAUUAUUAGUGGCACUGCAGAAAUUUGGCACCUCAUGCAUUCAUAGUCUCCAGGAUGGUCUGACCAUUCAUCCAACAAAUAUUAAUUGCUCUCAUGGUAAAAUCUCUGCCUCAUGGAGUUUAAAUCCUAAAAGUGGUGAAAAACUAAACACUGUGAACAGUUAAUUACUCAAUAUGGUAUGUACUGUGAAGGAAGUAGGCAAGAAGCUAAGAUAGAGAUUAAGAUAAAAG